AAAGCAGAUUGCAGUAUGUACGAACAACAUCAAGAUCAUAACUAUAUUAUAAUAACAUAUUAAUUAAUGCAAAUUUAAAUAUAUAGGAAAUAUGCGGUUAUUGGUUUGCGUAUUGUCAUGCUUUAACUAUUCAGUUUAUUGUAUAGUUUUAUUUUUUUAAUUUAUUUUAUAUAUGACACCUAUUGGUUUAAUGAUAACAAUAACUGGUGUUCUUCGGAAAUAUAAAACCGUGUUAAAGUAGGAGAAACUUUGCCGUUCGAAUAUAUAAUAUAA